rnacentral:rRNA from 1 species
AGUGAACGCUGGCGGUAGGCCUAACACAUGCAAGUCGAACGGCAGCACAGGAGAGCUUGCUCUCUGGGUGGCGAGUGGCGGACGGGUGAGGAAUACAUCGGAAGCUACUUUUUCGUGGGGGAUAACGUAGGGAAACUUACGCUAAUACCGCAUACGACCUACGGGUGAAAGCAGGGGAUCUUCGGACCUUGCGCGAUUGAAUGAGCCGAUGUCGGAUUAGCUAGUUGGCGGGGUAAAGGCCCACCAAGGCGACGAUCCGUAGCUGGUCUGAGAGGAUGAUCAGCCACACUGGAACUGAGACACGGUCCAGACUCCUACGGGAGGCAGCAGUGGGGAAUAUUGGACAAUGGGCGCAAGCCUGAUCCAGCCAUACCGCGUGGGUGAAGAAGGCCUUCGGGUUGUAAAGCCCUUUUGUUGGGAAAGAAAUCCAGCAGGUUAAUACCCGGUUGGGAUGACGGUACCCAAAGAAUAAGCACCGGCUAACUUCGUGCCAGCAGCCGCCGCGG